rnacentral:ncRNA from 2 species
AUACAGACUCAGGGAAACAGGUGGGAUUCCUGUGCAAGUCCGUUACUGUAAAAGCCAGAUUGCUGACUGUAU